AAACUCAAGAACAGCAAAGAAUCAUGUUAAGAAAUGUGCAAAGAAAAUGAGUGGAUAUUUUUCAAAAGAAAAAUUCAAAUGGAUAAUAGACAU